rnacentral:rRNA from 1 species
UAGGGAAUCUUCGGCAAUGGACGAAAGUCUGACCGAGCAACGCCGCGUGAGUGAAGAAGGUUUUCGGAUCGUAAAACUCUGUUGUUAGAGAAGAACAAGGACGUUAGUAACUGAACGUCCCCUGACGGUAUCUAACCAGAAAGCCACGGCUAACUACGUGCCAGCAGCCGCGGUAAUACGUAGGUGGCUAGCGUUGUCCGGAUUUAUUGGGCGUAAAGCGAGCGCAGGCGGUUUCUUAAGUCUGAUGUGAAAGCCCCCGGCUCAACCGGGGAGGGUCAUUGGAAACUGGGAGACUUGAGUGCAGAAGAGGAGAGUGGAAUUCCAUGUGUAGCGGUGAAAUGCGUAGAUAUAUGGAGGAACACCAGUGGCGAAGGCGGCUCUCUGGUCUGUAACUGACGCUGAGGCUCGAAAGCGUGGGGAGCAAACAGG